CUGGUUGAUCCUGCCAGUAGUCAUAUGCUUGUCUUAAAGAUCAAGCCAUUCAUUUCUAAGUGUACGCCUUCAUACGGCGAACCCGCUAAUGGCUCAUUAAAGCAGCUAUAGUUUUUGGGAUCAAACCCUUUAAAUGGAUAACUGUAAUAACUUCAGAGGUGGUACAUGCCCCGAAGCCCUGACCUGCGAGGGAAUGGGUGCAGUUAUAAAAUCAGCAGCCAACCAGGUAGUGUUCUUCUGCCUUCGUGUGGGAGCUCCGCUACCUGUCUUCCUUCUGGUGACAGUGGAUAAUUGUUACAGAUCGCAGUCGGCCUUGCAUCGGCGACGGCUGCUUCAAAUGUCUGCCCAAUAAAAUUUCGAUGGAAGGUGACCUGCAUACCACGGUGAUAGCGGGUAACGGGAAAUCAGGGUUCGAUUCCGGAGAAGGAACCAGAGAAAUGACUACCACUUCCAAGGAAGGUAGCAGGCGCGCAAAUUACCCACUCCCAGUACGGGGAGGUGGUGACAAAAAAUACCGAUGCGGGACUCUUAUUGAGGCUCCGUAAUCGGAAUCAGUGAAAUCUAAAUCCUUUCACGAGGAUCAAUUGAAGGGCAAGUCUGGCGCCAGUAGCAGCGGUUACUCUAGCUCCAAUAGCGUAUAUU
rnacentral:ncRNA from 1 species